rnacentral:rRNA from 1 species
AACGAACGCUGGCGGCAGGCCUAACACAUGCAAGUCGAGCGAGCAUUUCGGUGCUAGCGGCGGACGGGUGAGUAACGCGUGGGAACGUGCCCUUUUCUGCGGAAUAGUCCUGGGAAACUGGGGGUAAUACCGCAUACGCCCUUUUGGGGAAAGAUUUAUCGGAGAAGGAUCGGCCCGCGUUGGAUUAGGUAGUUGGUGGGGUAAUGGCCCACCAAGCCGACGAUCCAUAGCUGGUUUGAGAGGAUGAUCAGCCACACUGGGACUGAGACACGGCCCAGACUCCUACGGGAGGCAGCAGUGGGGAAUCUUAGACAAUGGGGGCAACCCUGAUCUAGCCAUGCCGCGUGAGUGAUGAAGGCCUUAGGGUUGUAAAGCUCCUUCAGCUGGGAAGAUAAUGACGGUACCAGCAGAAGAAGCCCCGGCUAACUCCGUG